rnacentral:rRNA from 1 species
GAAUUUUGCGCAAUGGGGGAAAGCCUGACGCAGCAACGCCGCGUGAGUGAUGAAGGCUUUCGGGUCGUAAAACUCUGUCAAGUGGGAAGAACAUGACUGAUGAUAAUACCAUUAGUUACUGACGGUACCACUGAAGGAAGCACCGGCUAACUCCGUGCCAGCAGCCGCGGUAAUACGGGGGGUGCAAGCGUUAUUCGGAAUUAUUGGGCGUAAAGAGCGCGUAGGCGGUUUUUUAAGUCAGAUGUGAAAGCCCGGGGCUUAACCCCGGAAGUGCAUUUGAAACUAAGGGACUUGAGUAUGGGAGAGGGAAGUGGAAUUCCUGGUGUAGAGGUGAAAUUCGUAGAUAUCAGGAGGAACACCGGUGGCGAAGGCGACUUCCUGGACCAAUACUGACGCUGAGGCGCGAAGGCGUGGGGAGCAAACAGGAUUAGAUACCCUGGUAGUCCACGCAGUAAACGUCGAUCACUAGGUGUAGCGGGUAUGGACCCCUGCUGUGCCGCAGUUAACGCAUAAAGUGAUCCGCCAGGGGAGUACGGUCGCAAGAUGAAAACUCAAAGGAAUUGACG